rnacentral:SRP_RNA from 1 species
GCAGGUUGGUUGCGGACGAGCGGUUCGCCAACCCGGUCAGGUCCGGAAGGAAGCAGCCGUAACGAGUUUAGCUUGGGUCGUGGCCAGCCUGCACC